rnacentral:lncRNA from 1 species
CAACAGCAGCAGCAGCAGGCACUGAAACGAAGGAGACAUCCUUUUUGAAACCUGCAACACCUGCAACACCUGCAAAAAGACGAUCACGGAAGAAAUUGUCUCUGAAGAUCUCUCAUCAAGAACAACUGUAAGUACCAUGCUCUUCUUUGUCUCAGUCAUUCUUGAUGUGAUGAUGAUGUUGAUCUUCAUGAUGAAUAUGACUAUUCAUAUGAUUGACUCUGUCCUGUGAUUGACAGGACCCCUGAUGCCAGUUCAGCCAAGUCCGUGCUAGAACAGUGGUUGGAACAAAUCCCUCGGGAGCCAACCUAUUCACCGAAUGCACCUGUGACGAUGGCGACCGGUGACAGUGAUGAUCAUGAAGCGCUCAUGCUGGCCACUCUCCCUUCCAUGGAUCUGGACACGCUCCCCCUGCUUGAUGCUUCUUGGUCACCAGCAUCACCGGAAGAUGUUCAUGUCUUCUCCUCAGGUAUGCCCAUGGUUUGCAACGAUGACAACGUUGACCAGGAUCCUUAUGGAGAAGCUCAACUCACUUCUCUACAACGUGAAUGUAGUGAUUGCCGACACAACAACAUGUUAAGAUACAUAAGCUGCAACAGUGGCCAAGUGAUGUGCCAUGUCUGUUUCGGGGAGGUCAUAGACUGUACUUGUUUUACUAAUGGAUCUGUCACAUGUUUGGGACCUAUUUGGGACAGUAUGAUGGAGGGUCACAUCUUAUGGUGAUCUUCAUCUUCACUCGAAGAGCUUUACAACACAUAAGCUGCAACAGUGGUCAAGUGAUGUGUCAUGUCUGUUUCAGGGAGGUCAUAGACUGUACUUGUUUAACUGAUGGACCUCUCACAUGUUUGAUGGAGGACCACAUCUCAUGGGCUUGAAGAUAGAAGAGCUGGAAGAUGAAAGCUUAAGAGGAAACGUUGUCGCGUUAUUGUUGUUGUAGGGACAUGCAAAGCACUCCCUCCUCCAUUGUCUUUUCGUAUUUCCAAUGUAUCUGGUUGUGAUUGUUCAUUAUUAAACAGUGAUUGAUUGAACUGACUCUUUGUGUCUUGAUUGAUCUCAACUCCAAUAGAGUGCCGAACCGAGGGUAGAGGUUGAGUUGAGAUGUCGCCAUGCUUGAAAGAUCAGCUGCCUGGUGUCAGUCAUUCCAGUACACACCACCACUACCACCGUGUGUCAUGUCAUGUGUCAUGUCAUAUAUCAUGCCAUGUAUCAGUCAGCCCAAACACAGGAUGACGUCACGUGAUGAGGUGAAGGAGGAGGAGGAGGAGGUCAUGACCUUCCGUUGAAGGGGGGUAGGGAGGAGAGUUUCAUAAAAGCAGGCGAACCCUCAGACCUUCUUUCAGUGAAGUCACAGUCAUCAUGGAGCAAAGAGGGUCUAUGAAUGCCAUGUCAUCCUCCCGAGAUGUUGUCCCCGAUUCCGAGUGGGUGUCUGAAAAGGCGGGAGAACAAGAAGCGAGAAAACGUCCACUCUUUAUGGAGGACACCCUCUUUAUGGACGACACAUGGCGACUCAGGGACCUUUACCUUCUUACACCUUGUGUCUCCUUCUCAUCCUCACUAUGAUUCAUUUCAAGAACGUCUGAGGUCUUUUAAAACGUGGCCUAAACAGAUGACCCAGACCCCUUAUGACAUGGCCAUGGCUGGCUAUUUCUAUCCAGGACGAGAUGACCGUGGUACCUGUUAUUGCUGUGGUGUGACACUCCGCCAAUGGGAAGCAACAGACAAACCCUGGAAAGAACAUCUGAAGCACGCCAAAGUCCCCUGCGAAUACUUGUGUGUGUUUUGUCCUGAUGGAGAAGUGAACGAAAAAUACAGACGUUUGGUGUCCCAAGAAGCACGGAAGAGAAGAGUCGAGUGUCUUGUUCACCCCAAGUGACAAAGUUUUUUGUUUUUUUCAAAGUGUACAGACGUUCAUACCCUCGUGGUCAUCCUCGUGGUCUCCCUCGUGUUCACAAAAAUCACAGGGACGCCCCUAAUCCUGUGACUUUUGUUUUGUUGUGUUGGUUCAUGUGAGCGGGGGUUUAAAAAAUAAAGUUGAACCAAUAGUAGUGUUAUGUUGUCUGUAGGAUGAAGAAAAAACAAAACAAGAUCGAAAUGCACACCCUGAUAAAAACCGGAUCGAAAUGCACACCCUGAUAAAAACCAGAUCGAAAUCUGACCAAUCAGAGGCUUGGGUUGUCGGCCAAUCAGAGACCGUGCUCAGGUCAUGCUGGACUCUGAAUGGUCGAACAGGGGUUGUGCUUUUCCUCCCAUGGUAAAAUCCAUUUCCUACGGAAAAGAAACACAGGGGUCGGUCCGUUUUCGAAAACCGAGGUGCAGGCCAGGCACCGGAAUGAACCAAUCGGGGGCGCGGCCUGGGGAACCAAUCAGGAAGCAGGGUGUCAGUGGCUCUCCUAUAAAAACAAAAAAACAAGAGCGAGGUCACUCACACACUGCAUUCUAUGAAACCAACCAUGUCACCUCGAUACAGUUGUAUGAAGUGCCAGACUGACAGUCACAGUUACCUGUACUGCCCUGAAGUGACAUGUCUCGAGUGUCCCACUCAAGGUCACCGUCACUAUGUUUGUCCGAAGAUAAGCAGUCAAGAGAAGCAGAACCAGGGCCCAUGUUACAACUGUCAAGUCGUUGGUCAUUUUGCUGCAGAUUGCCCAGAA